CCUUUAAAAAAAUCUGCCUCACCUUCCAGCCAGGUACAUUUCUACGGCAACAAAUCCUUCAGAACUAACCUGCUCAGGGGCAGGCUAACUAAGGGCUAACUCCAUUUACCCUGAAUGAAGUUUCUGUGCCGCAAGUUAAAGACCAAUGAAAUCAGAUUCCCUUCCUCUCGCAAAGAUUUUGUCAUCAUCCCCUUCAUUUGAGGAAGAAGAUAGUAAUGGCAGAAUGCAUUUGAAACUUUACGCACAGUAAAACUUUUGUAUGACAAAUAAAAUUAUGACAUUAUUUUAUCGAUAGGAGUGGGGAAAAAAGGUGCUCAUGCAUUGAUAACCACACCAAAGAAGGCAUUAACGAUAAGUAAUAAAACCCUGAGUAGAUCUAGAUUGCAUCAUAGGAUACCCCUCUGGUGUGGUUUGGUUGUUAUUUAGGGUUUACUGUAAUCAUGAUCAGUUCCUUAACUUACAUCCUGCAGUAUUACAUUCCUCCAAACCCCAACCCCCUCCCCUCCCCUCCCCUCACACACACACACUUCACCCCUAUAGAAUGUGAACCAAAAAUGAUUGAAAUGUAGGACAUGACGUCUAACAAUGAUGGUCAUAUCAACAAUAAAAUUAUAUAAAUGUGCUGAUGUGUCCACUGGGUACUGACAUACUGAGAGACAGGACACCUACCCCAGCGUGAGUACAUGGAUGGAAAUGUACAUUAUGCAUUCAGCUUUUUUCUUUUUGAAUCUUGUUUGUACUGCGGCAGAUGGUGAAAUGGUGUGGGUUUAUCAUGUGUGCUUUCUGUUGUUUAGUUUGAUGAUUAGUAGUGUGUGUUUGUGAUUGCUGUUGGGUUUUUCAACACCUCCCCCAUCCCCGUGUUUUUGGACUAUUCUAAUCUAUUCUACUCAAUUAUAUUCUAUAAUGUGCUUAUGAAGUCGGUGGUAGCUGUGCUGUUGUUGCUGUUCAGUGGUGUGUGUGUGUGUGUGUGUGGGGCUGAGGAUCCCAAUUCCAUUCAGGUCCGGUUCAAGGCCCUGGAGGAGUAACCUAAGGUCCUCCUGAAGAUCCUAAUAUAAUUUAAAGGACAUACUGAAUGCCAGUGAGACCAAAGUGAAGGCUGGAGACCAAGGUGGAGGCUUUCCAGACCAAUGAGAAGGUUCUGAAGACCAAGGUGGAGGCUCUUAAAGCAACAGGGAGAUUGAGCAGAGCAAGGUUGAGGCUCUUAAAAGUAACGUAGAGACUGGAGAGCUAGGGAGGCUCAAAAGACCAGGAAUGACGGCAUCUUCACAGCUUCAAUCAGGGCAGUCUACUACUAUCCCAGACUGUAGCUUUAAAAGCAUUUUGUUUAGAGCAAUCUUUGUAUGCCUGUAUAGAUGCAGAGGUCAGAAGAAAGACUACACAAUAAGUGCAACAAUGACUAGGAGACAGACUAACAGGACUCCUUGAAAUGGGGUGCUGUCAUGCAGUACACUGCCAAGCAGAGGAGAACAAACUCCUACGGAUCAAAGCACAUCAGAACCCUAGACGUGCCCACCUUUACCUCGACUUCAAUGAACAUCCGAUGUUACUGCAACAAAGGCCCCAGAGUUUAACCUGAUCACAUGACCUUACCACAAAAAACUCUGGGCCAUAUCUAUAAAUUAGUUCGUCAAAUGGCCAAAAUCUCAAUAGCUAGUAUAACUAAAGAGACACUAGGCAUCAAUAGUUCCAACGUAUUCAGAUAAAUACCCAUAUUCACUAUUUUUCCCUCUGGUUUCUGAUGUAACAUGUACCUCCCAAAAUAAAAAUACUGUCGUAAUAUUG